rnacentral:tRNA from 1 species
GGCCGGUUAGCUCAGUCAGUUGAGCGUUAGCGCUAACAACGCUAAGGUCGCGGGUUCGAUUCCCGCUCGGUCU